UAUGAAACGGUCUAUAAAAUCAGAAGCACUCUGUUGGCUCAUAAAAACUCUCCAAGGACUUCACAGGUGCAGGCUGCUGCCAGACAGACUUCUCAUGCCACCCCAGAGUACUGAUGGAGACAGACAACAGGACAACUCCACAGUGGAUCAGGCAGAAAAGGAACCGAGCAGAGUCACAGUAGCCAUGAGGUGCAGGUUUCCCCCACUGCGGUAGCAAACCACAACCAGGAGGAGGUGGUGGAGGAGGAUACUUUUGGCAACAGCCGUAUGUACCUGUCAGAAGUGCUUGAAUCAUUCAUGGCCACGAGGGAAGCCAUGCAAGUACAGCAGAAUGUGACAGUGUACGAGUCCUUUGGCACGUCCACCCUACCUAGCAGCAUGGAGAGCCCCG